rfam:Puccinia graminis f. sp. tritici CRL 75-36-700-3 supercont2.63 genomic scaffold, whole genome shotgun sequence.
CCUGUCAUCGUCUAGUGGUUAGGACACCAGGUUUUGAAACCCUUCAAUUCACUGGAUCCCAGUGCCCUGACCGAUCUCCUGGUAACUUGGGUUCGACUCCCAAUGACAGGU